rnacentral:lncRNA from 1 species
UAUGUGGCAUCUUUUUGAACUCCCUCAACCGUUCGAGCUUUCAUAAUACCAUCCAGACUUCUCCGAUAAUGAGCUCCUCCAUUCAUAUACCGGGCUGCUCCAAACGAUUUUCGAGCUUCACUAUCAGCCGAUUUUUUACAAUGAUCGACCAUUCUCCGAAUCUCUUCCAGACUUCUUUCGACCACGAACGACUUUACUCUGAACUUCUUUCGGACUUCGUCAAUGUCCGAGCUUCUUUAACAGCAGGACUUCUACAGUAGCCAGACUCCAUCCAAGUUUCUACGACGGUCGAUCGCCUUUUGGAUUUCAUCCGAGCUCCUACAAGAAUCGGAUCUCUGCCCUGAACUUCUAUUGCAAGCGGACUUCAUCCGAGCUCCUACAAGAGUCAGACUCCAUCCGAACUUCUACAGUGGAUGGAUACAGACGAACUCCUACAACGGAUAGGCUCCACUAGUCGGAUCUCUGCUCCAAACUUCUUUCGGACUUCGUCAAUGACUGAGCUUCUCCAGCAGUGGGACUUCUACAAUAAGAAGUCUCCAUCCGAGCUUCUCCAGCAGUUGGACUUCUACAAUAAGAAGUCUCCAUCCAAGCUUCCACGACAAUCGGUCUUCGUCUGAGCUUCUACAAUAAGCAAACUUCUUUCAGACUCCUACAAA